AGUGGCGGACGGGUGAGUAACGCGUAAGAAUCUAACUUCAGGACGGGGACAACAGUGGGAAACGACUGCUAAUACCCGAUGUGCCGCGAGGUGAAACCUAAUUGGCCUGAAGAAGAGCUUGCGUCUGAUUAGCUAGUUGGUGGGGUAAGAGCCUACCAAGGCGACGAUCAGUAGCUGGUCUGAGGGGAUGAGCAGCCACACUGGGACUGAGACACGGCCCAGACUCCUACGGGAGGCAGCAGUGGGGAAUUUUCCGCAAUGGGCGAAAGCCUGACGGAGCAACGCCGCGUGAGGGAGGAAGGUCUUUGGAUUGUAAACCUCUUUUCUCAAGGAAGAAGUUCUGACGGUACUUGAGGAAUCAGCCUCGGCUAACUCCGUGCCAGCAGCCGCGGUAAUACGGGGGAGGCAAGCGUUAUCCGGAAUUAUUGGGCGUAAAGCGUCCGCAGGUGGUCAGCCAAGUCUGCCGUCAAAUCAGGUUGCUUAACGACCUAAAGGCGGUGGAAACUGGCAGACUAGAGAGCAGUAGGGGUAGCAGGAAUUCCCAGUGUAGCGGUGAAAUGCGUAGAGAUUGGGAAGAACAUCGGUGGCGAAAGCGUGCUACUGGGCUGUAUCUGACACUCAGGGACGAAAGCUAGGGGAGCGAAAGGGAUUAGAUACCCCUGUAGUCCUAGCCGUAAACGAUGGAUACUAGGCGUGGCUA
rnacentral:rRNA from 1 species